ensembl:piRNA 21ur-2155 ncRNA
UACACGACUCAUGUACUGAUU